rnacentral:rRNA from 1 species
GAUGAACGCUAGCGACAGGCUUAACACAUGCAAGUCGAGGGGCAUCACGGGAGUAGCAAUACAACUGGUGGCGACCGGCGCACGGGUGAGUAACGCGUAUGCAACCUACCUAUCAAAGGGGAAUAACCCGGCGAAAGUCGGACUAAUACCGCAUAAAACAGGGGCACCGCAUGGUGAUAUUUGUUAAAGAAAUUCGCUGAUAGAUGGGCAUGCGUUCCAUUAGGUAGUUGGUGAGGUAACGGCUCACCAAGCCGACGAUGGAUAGGGGAACUGAGAGGUUGGCCCACCACACUUGUACAGAGACACGGACCAGACUCCUACGGGAGGCAGCAGUGAGGAAUAUUGGUCAAUGGGCGGGAGCCUGAACCAGCCAAGUCGCGUGAAGGAAGAAGGAUCUAUGGUUCGUAAACUUCUUUUGCAGGGGAAUAAAGUGCAGGACGUGUCCUGUUUUGUAUGUACCCCGAGAAUAAGGAUCGGCUAACUCCGUGCCAGCCGCCGCGGUAACAC